rnacentral:tRNA from 1 species
GGCGCUAUAGUGUAGUGGUUAUCACUUGGGAUUCUGAAGAAAUUUCCCAAAACCCAGGUUCGAGCCCUGGUAGCGCCU